CAAGAUUCGAUAUCGUGCAACUUCUGCCUCUUUCCCAAAGUCAAAAUGACAAUGAAAAGUAAAUGUGUCGAAUCCAUUUAGGAUAUUGAGGCAGCCAAGACAGCCAACUAAGGAUACUCAUGAAAGAGGACUUUUAAAACUGCCUCAGAAAAUGGCUAUAAUGAUGGCACAAGUAUGUUUAAAGUGAGAGGAAAUAUUUUGAAGGGGUUUAAUGGUAAUGUAUCUGUCACUGUAAUAAACAUUUAAAAAUUUUAACAUUCUCUGUAUGUGGCACGUUCUUGUUGAUUACAGAUUAGGGAUACAAUUUCAGUUCCCAUCUUCAUGUCCUUAAAAAUUAUCUUCAACCUGGCAAAUUUUUAUUUAAGCAUAUCUCAUUUGUCAGCCUGUAAUAUUUACUGAACAUCUAACCUGUUCCUUUUGGAAAGAAGUUGGAGUUAAUGAAAGAAAAAAGAUUUUCCUUGCCUUAAAUGUGUUUAUAGUCUGGCUCAUUGGCUAUAUGUUAUAUACUAAAUGUAGAUUACUAUGUUAUAUAUGUAUGUAUAGAUAGAGAUAUAUAGUGAUUGAAAACUACAAUGAAUUGUUAAAUUUAAAAAACAUUACAAGAAAAGAUAUUACUAACAAUAAUGGGGCAAGUGUUUAGAAGUAGGAGGAGUAUUUUGAGGGGGAUUAAUGGCAAUGUAUCUUUUGCUCUGUAUUUUCUUGUCACAGAAAUGCAAGAGAAUAAUUUAGUUUUCAUGAAGUACACUGAGAAUAUUUUCACAAAAGGAAUGUUUGAAUUGAUACUUGAUGUUCUUCUUCUGUGGGAAAUGACUUCUUCCCGGCUCCAGGAGACUUCUGUGGAACAUAAAGCAUGAAACAGCCCCUCUUGACAACAGACCUGCCAUAUAUCCUAAACAAGACUAGCUACUGGCAUCUACUGACAGUUUGUUUCUGAGGCUGAGAUAGGUA
rnacentral:lncRNA from 1 species